UGCCCCAGAGCUGGGUCUCAGCCAGCCUUAGGGACAGUGUCAGGGCAGGGGACCCAUUGGUGGCACCUCCUGCUCCUCUCCUGACCCACAAGGCUGUGACAGAGGAGCCCCGUGUGCCACUGCCACCUUCACCCAGGGCAUACGGUAGGCACAGUCUCUAAAGACAUCCUUACAAGUUAAUUAAUUAUGUUUACAUUAUUUGAUCAUGUACAGAAUUUAAUAUAUUCUAUUAUAUAUAAUCUUUCUUGAAUGCUUUUUUAAAAAAGGAUUAUUUGGUCAGGAUCAUUACCGCAUUCCUUUUAUAAACACCACCUCUCCUUUCAGGCAUCUUUCAAAUCCUUGGAAACUGAUUGCAAAUGGCUCUUUAACCCCUGAACCCCCAGUUCAGCACGUGGUGUGAGGGACCCAGAGGCAGGAGCAAACUGGGGCCUCUGCACCCCAGGAAAGGGAGAAAGGGAAGGGUCCUGGCUCUUUCAGGCAUCUGACCUCCAGGAAAGGGAGAAAGGGAAGGGUCCUGGCUCUUUCAGGCAUCUCACCUCCAGGAAAGGGAGACAGGGAUGGAGUCCUGGGUUCUCCAGGCAUCUGCACCCCAGGAACGGGAGACAGGGAUGGAGUCCUGGGUUCUCCAGGUGUCUGACCUCCAGGAAAGGGAGAAAGGGAAGGGUUCCUGGUUCUUCCAGGCAUCUACCCUUCAGGCACAGAUCCAGCAGCACACCAGCAUGCCGGGCAGCAGUGGGGCAUUUGGAGAUGGGAUUCUCCCAUGCUGUGGUCCCUGAGUCCCCUGCGGUGUCACAGACACUGGCUGGCCAUCAGUGUGACGGGAGAGCCCCAGCAGCAGGAGGGAAGUGUCCCCUUGUCCCCAGAACAGGAGGGAAAUGUCUCCUUGUCUCCAGCAGCAGGAGGGAAGUGUCCCCAGCACUGGAAGGAGGUGUCCCCUUAGGGCAAUACAACAUCCCCUUGUCCCCAGCACAGGAGGGAAGUGUCCCUAUGUCCCCAGCACUGGAGGGAAGUGUCCCUUUGUCCCCAAACUGCAGGAGAGAAUUGUCCCUGUGUCCCCAGCAGCAGGAGGGAGGUGUCCCUUUGUACCCAAAAGAGAAGGGAGGUGUCCCAGCACAGGAGAGAAGUGUCCCUGUGUCCCCAGAAGGAGGAGGGAAGUGUC
rnacentral:lncRNA from 1 species